GGCUCACUUGUAAUUAAAUCUGUUGAGGGAGGUCAAGGAUAAUAAGAAAGGCUUUUUAAAUAUGUCAUUGGCCAAAAAAGCAAAAACAAAGAAAAAAAAAAGGGUGGAGGAAAAUGGGAUUCUGCUGCUGAAUGAAGUGGGCACCCUGGUAACAGAGCACUCUGAGAAGUCAAUGUCAUUGAAUGCCCUCUUUGCUUCAGACUUGCUAAGAGUGUCUCUUGGGAAUCUCAGACCCUGGAGGUAAGGGAGAGUAUAAAGAAAGGAAGACUUCCCUUUGAUCAAGGAGGGUCUGGUCAGAGACCAUCCAGGCAAAACAUAAUGCACACAAACCCAUGAGCCCUGGGAUGGACCCAUGUUGAGGGAACUGGUAGAGGUGACUGCUGAAUGCUCUCUACCAUCUUUGAAAAGUCAUGCAGAGCGCAGUGAACAUUGUGUACCUUGACUUCAGAAAGGCCUUUAACACUGUCUCCCAUAACAUGCUCAUAGGUAAACUUAGGAAAUGUGGGAUAGACAGUGAACAUCAAAAAAGACGAAUAAAAAACACUUCCUGACUUUCUGGAGUAUGCUUGGUAUGUCUCGAGCAUUUAUAGUCCAAAGCAAAAUUUAACAACAAAUCGAGGGCCGUUAUCAGUGAGGCAGGAGGUCCUGUGAGAACAAGGUGGUCUCAAAACAGGCCCACCUUCCCUGCCAGAAAGAUUUUCUACAAACUUAUUUCUGACAAAUUUGUUCCUGUGAACUCUCUUGUUUAUGGCCUUGAAAAUGUGCACCUGCAAACCUUACAGAUACAAAAAGAUGAUGGUGAGGAGACAUUGUCAUCAUUGAUUUUUCCCUGCCUGCUGUUUGCCGGUUCAAGAUUAAGACCUCUGGACGAGUGCAGUCAUAUCUCCAUCCCUCCUGGACCCACAGGACCUGAACUGGAACUCCUCAAAAUGGACCGGAUGCAACAGACAAUGAGGAGGAUUAAUAGCCAGCUGACUGGCAGAGCUCAGAGGGUUGUAAUCAUCUGUAUUCGGGAUAUAGUUGGAGGCCCAUAGUUAGCAACAUUACCCAGCGAUAGUUUCCAUGGAAAUGAAGACAUCACUUUCAGCAUGACCUACAUAAAUAUGUAAAGGUCAUGUGUCAAGAGGACAGGGCCAGGCUCAUUUCAGUGGUGACCAGUGAUCGGACAAAGGACAAUGAACACAAACUGGAACACAUGAAGUCCAAUAUAAACAAUAGAAAUAAAUAUUUUAUUUUACUUUGAGUGUGACA
rnacentral:lncRNA from 1 species